rnacentral:rRNA from 1 species
CCUACGGGAGGCAGCAGUGAGGAAUAUUGGUCAAUGGGCGCGAGCCUGAACCAGCCAAGUAGCGUGAAGGAUGACUGCCCUACGGGUUGUAAACUUCUUUUAUAAAGGAAUAAAGUGAGGCAUGUGUGCCUUUUUGUAUGUACCUUAUGAAUAAGGAUCGGCUAACUCCGUGCCAGCAGCCGCGGUAAUACGGAGGAUCCGAGCGUUAUCCGGAUUUAUUGGGUUUAAAGGGAGCGUAGGUGGGUUGUUAAGUCAGUUGUGAAAGUUUGCGGCUCAACCGUAAAAUUGCAGUUGAUACUGGGAGCCUUGAGUACAGUAGAGGUAGGCGGAAUUCGUGGUGUAGCGGUGAAAUGCUUAGAUAUCACGAAGAACUCCGAUUGCGAAGGCAGCCUACUGGACUGCCACUGACGUUGAUGCUCGAAAGUGUGGGUAUCAAACAGGAUUAGAUACCCCUGUAGUC